AGUGGCGAAAGGGGCAGUAAGGCGUGGGUAACCUACCCCGGGGACUGGGAUAGCCUUCCUAACGGAUGGGUAAUACCAGGCGAUCUGACGAGGGCGCCUGCUCUUGUCAGGAAAAGAAUUUCGCCUCGGGAGGGGCUCACGUGCUAUUAGCUAGACGGCGGGGUAACGGCCCACCGUGGCAAAGAUGGCUAGCGGGUAUGAGAGUACGACCCGCGCCACUGGCACUGAGACACUGGCCAGACACCUACGGGUGGCUGCAGUCGAGGAUCUUCGGCAAUGGGCGCAAGCCUGACCGAGCGACGCCGCGUGUGCGAUGAAGGCCUUCGGGUUGUAAAGCACUGUCGAGGGGGAGGAAAGCCGUAAGGUCUGACCUAUCCCUGGAGGAAGGACGGGCUAAGUUCGUGCCAGCAGCCGCGGUAAGACGAACCGUCCAAACGUUGUUCGGAAUCACUGGGCUUAAAGGGCGCGUAGGCGGGCCAGCCAGUCCGGGGUGAAAUCUUUCGGCUUAACCGGAAAAGUGCCUUGGA
rnacentral:rRNA from 1 species